rnacentral:rRNA from 1 species
AGAAUCAACGCUGGCGGCGUGCCUAACACAUGCAAGUCGAACGAGAAAGGGUAGCAAUACCUGAGUAAAGUGGCGCACGGGUGAGUAACACGUGACUAACCUACCUUUUAGUGGGGGAUAACCUAGGGAAACCUGGGCUAAUACCGCAUAAUACCUACGGGUCAAAGCAGCAAUGCGCUGGAAGAGGGGGUCGCGGCCGAUUAGCUAGUUGGCGGGGUAAUGGCCCACCAAGGCAGUGAUCGGUAUCCGGCCUGAGAGGGCGCACGGACACACUGGAACUGAAACACGGUCCAGACUCCUACGGGAGGCAGCAGUGGGGAAUUUGCGCAAUGGGGGAAACCCUGACGCAGCAACGCCGCGUGGAGGAUGAAGACCCUUGGGUCGUAAACUCCUUUCGAUCGGGACGAUAAUGACGGUACCGGAAGAAGAAGCCCGGCUAACUCGCGCCAGCAGCCGC